GUCCAAGCCGGCAGCUGACACCAGGGGCCCUGGUGAGGUGACAAGUUGGGGGAGGGACGACACAUACGUGGGGAAUCUGAGAGGUGAAGUACUUUGGCCUGUAGCUGAUUGCAAGAGCCUUCAGGAAAGCAUAAGAAUAAAAUGAUAACUGUCUGUGAAUGACAAAAGACUUAAAGUGGCCAUGGUUGAAGAUCUGAUGAGAGUUCAUUUUAACUCAACUGACAAGGAAAUUUUGUUGCUUCUGUGACAUCCAACAUUUUAAGAUAAUAAGUAGAAUUAUGACUGAUAACAUUAUACCAGGACACGUCAUGAACGGCAAGCUGCGACUUCACCGUGUGGCCCCAGGUGUGCUGUGUAUCCUCCGUGAUCUCUUAACCAUGGAUGCAAGAGGCAUCUCCAAAGAGAGUGCAAAAGAUGCAGCCACACGAUCCAGAGUCACUCCCACAGACAGCCGCAGAAGACAGAUGUCAAUGAACACCCUGAGAGCUGGCAACAAUCAAUGAGAUGGCAGCCACAAUAUUUCUGUUCAGCUAACUACAAAUUUUGGGGUCCCCCAACCUGAUAGUUGGCUGCCUAUAGAUGCAGCCCUGACAACCCGGUGCCCCCGGCAGGCAGAAAGUCAAAUCAAGCUUUCAGACAUAAAAUGAGGCAAACAGGAAAGCAAUGGCUGUCCCUGGGAAAGAAAGAAUCAAUGACCCAUGAGUACUCAAGACCAAGAGUCACCCAAGAGUAAUACCCAAAGAAGUAGAUCCUUCCAGUGUUUUCUCCUGGACGAGGAGCGCUCUUACUGCCCUCAUCUGAUCAGACUCCAAGCAAAAUUCCGAGAGGCUGACUUGGUAAGAUUUUUCACUUUUGGCAAGCUUUGUCCAGCAUCCUGAGUUCUCAGCUACGAAAUGAUUGGGGUGUCCCAGCUGUCCUUUUGUGGUCACCAGAACUCCAG
rnacentral:lncRNA from 1 species